GUGUGUGUGUGUAUGUGUGCGCUGUACCGUGUGUGUGCAUAUUCCUUGCUUCCCUUCAGUUUGUGUGGUGUGUAUGCGUGUGUAUUCCUCUCUCCUGCAGCUUGUGUGCCUGUUUGUGUGUGUCUCUCUCCUCUGCAGUGUGUGUAUUUCUCCCUCCCUUGCAGGUUUCUCCUGCCCAAAUCCCCAGUUCAAACACUCACUGCCUUAAAAUCCAUCCUUAAGGAAAACCUUGCCUGCCUUCAUCACUUCCCGUGAAUAAACCUUUCCAGGAGCCCAAAUUAUCCAGACUGUGCCAGGGAGUGGAGGGGGGAAAACAUCAUUUUGCAGGUGAAAUAUUAGUAUUACAUCUAAGGGGACACCAGAAAGGGGCGGGGGGAGUCUCACUUACUUCUUUCCAAGAUUUAAAAGAAGGAGAAGAGCUCUGCAUAACUGUUAAGAAAGACAAAUGAUGUGGGGGUGGGGGGAGGGGAGUAAUACGGUUAAAGGUGGAAAAUGAGGAGGUUAAGAAGAAAAAAGUGCCCCCAGGCUCUGAGAAAGCAGGCACAGGGCAGAGCUGUCAUUUGAGAGAUAUAUGGCUCUGUUUUGGUUGCAAUAAUUGGAGUGCAAACUGUGUUAGAAAUCUGCUUGUCAGCAUCACAUUUCUUUGCACCAGAAAGAAAACUGAUAAAUAUCUGGAGGGCAAAACACUUCAGGUUAUAUCCAGUUUCAGGCUUUGGAGUUGAUUGGUUGCAGCACUAGAAGCUUAAAAAAUUUUCUCCUCUCCCCUGCUUGUGAUUUUUAAAAGAUACAGAAAUUCCCAGGGGUGUGGGUUUGCAGAGGAAUUAGUAUCCCUUUUGUAUCCAUAAUCAUUGACCAUGAGUUUUUGUUCACCACCUGUCUCAUCUGCUAAAUUCCUGUCUUCCUCUUAUGGAAAUGUAAAGACAAAAAUAUAAUGCUACCUUGAAGAACAACCCCAUUGACAAUGACAAUAAAUUGAACAGGGCUAGCAUGAGACAGAGGUGGAAGAAAAGGACACACCAACUGCAGAGACUUCCUCAGCCUGA